GGGAUGCCCCAAACAGCAAAGAUGGACUACAAAAUACUGUGCUUCAGGCACCAUUUGUGGUUCAGGAAGAAAUUUCUGCUGAGAUGAUCUGGCAGGUGAUCCUGGAUCCCAGGUUGUUCUAUUGACAAUCUCUGUAGUAUCGGAGCACCUCCCAAGAAUGAGGAGUUAUAACACUGCAAGCAGAAUACUUACCAACACAUUUAGGAGGCUUGAGGCUGGGGGCUCUGGGCUUCAGCCUCCCUCGGGAUGCAGGGCUUCAGCCUUCAGCCACCUGCAGCGCUACACACUGGGACUGCCGCC